CUCUUGGCUAUGAUGGGUUCAAGUUUGCUCCACGUUUCCUUCCAGGGCCUAGGCUGAAGGAGAAGACAUAGCAGCCCAUGGGACAUGUUCGUCUCAUGGAUGAUCACAAUUGCCAAGAAGAUAAGCCAACAUACAGGUUAUGCCAAUGCCAGAAGAAGACUGUUGCUAUUGUUUUUCUCCAUGCUCGAGGAUUUUUGUCCUUUGCAAAAUAAUCUCAGAAAGUAUUGUAGAAGCUACUGAUGCCCCAAUCUAUGUCCGUCAGCCAAAUAUCUGGAUUCACUGCAGCUGCGCGACACACCCAUGUCUUUCUACCUCAACUAUCCAUGCCUCUCUGCUUGCUUCUCUGCCUGUGGGGCUUUCUUGGCAGUACAGGGGUUUGCUCCGCCUAUAUGCAAGGCAGCCUAGAAGUGUAAUGAGUUUAAUUUCCCAGCAGCAGUUUUCAACCAAUGAGAAACUGGAACUGGUGCAUAAACAGCCCAGAUUCCCUAUCACUCUUUGGGCCACACUCUCAGAAAGCUUGAGAUUGCGGUUACCUGCUCCCUGCUCCCUUGUGCACACACCUUUCAUUGGCUGUCUUCCCUUUUCUACUUCACUCCUCACUCCCUUGUUGCACUUCCUGGGAUCACCUGUCAAACUACCUGGGGCAUGGUGACAUGCAUCUGUAGUCCCAGCUACACAGGAGGUUGAGGUGAGAAGAUCACUUGAACCCAGGAGUUCUAGUCCAGCCUGGGCGACAUAGCAAGACUCCUGUCUCUUAAAAAAUAAAAUAAA
rnacentral:lncRNA from 1 species